rnacentral:rRNA from 1 species
UACGAAGGGGGCUAGCGUUGUUCGGAAUUACUGGGCGUAAAGCGCGCGCAGGCGGCUAUCCAAGUCAGUGGUGAAAGCCCGGAGCUCAACUCCGGAACUGCCAUUGAAACUGUUUAGCUUGAGGAUGAGAGAGGUGAGUGGAAUUCCCAGUGUAGAGGUGAAAUUCGUAGAUAUUCGCAAGAACACCGGUGGCGAAGGCGGCCAACUGGACCUUACUGACGCUGAG